GGUUAAGCGACUAAGCGUACACGGUGGAUGCCCUGGCAGUCAGAGGCGAUGAAGGACGUGCUAAUCUGCGAAAAGCGUCGGUAAGGUGAUAUGAACCGUUAUAACCGGCGAUGUCCGAAUGGGGAAACCCAGUGCAAUUCGUUGCACUAUCGUUAACUGAAUACAUAGGUUAACGAGGCGAACCGGGGGAACUGAAACAUCUAAGUACCCCGAGGAAAAGAAAUCAACCGAGAUUCCCCCAGUAGCGGCGAGCGAACGGGGAGCAGCCCAGAGUCUGAAUCAGCUUGUGUGUUAGUGGAACGGUCUGGAAAGUCCGACGGUACAGGGUGAUAGUCCCGUACACCAAAAUGCACAGGCUGUGAACUCGAAGAGUAGGGCGGGACACGUGGUAUCCUGUCUGAAUAUGGGGGGACCAUCCUCCAAGGCUAAAUACUCCUGACUGACCGAUAGUGAACCAGUACCGUGAGGGAAAGGCGAAAAGAACCCCGGCGAGGGGAGUGAAAAAGAACCUGAAACCGUGUACGUACAAGCAGUGGGAGCACCUUCGGGUGUGACUGCGUACCUUUUGUAUAAUGGGUCAGCGACUUAUAUUAUGUAGCAAGGUUA
rnacentral:rRNA from 1 species